rnacentral:rRNA from 1 species
UACGUAGGGUGCAAGCGUUGUCCGGAAUUAUUGGGCGUAAAGAGCUCGUAGGCGGUCUGUCGCGUCGGCUGUGAAAACCCGGGGCUCAACCCGGGCCUGCAGUCGAUACGGGCAGACUAGAGUGCGGUAGGGGAGACUGGAAUUCCUGGUGGUAGCGGUGAAAUGCGCAGAUAUCAGGAGGAACACCGGUGGCGAAGGCAGAUCUCUGGGCCGUAACUGACGCUGAGGAGCGAAAGCAUGGGGAGCGAACAGG